rnacentral:rRNA from 1 species
GUGGAUUAGAUACCCUGGUAGUCCACGCCCUAAACGAUGUCGACUGGUUGUUGGGGGUUUGACACUCUCAGUAACGAAGCUAACGCGUGAAGUCGACCGCCUGGGGAGUACGGCCGCAAGGUUAAAACUCAAAGGAAUUGACGGGGACCCGCACAAGCGGUGGAUUAUGUGGAUUAAUUCGAUGCAACGCGAAAAACCUUACCUACCCUUGACAUGUCCGAGAGCCCGAUGAGAGUUGGGUGUGCCCGAAAGGGAAUCGGAACACAGGUGCUGCACGGUUGUCGCCAGCU